AAUGACACCAGAACUGUAAGAGAAACUUUUAAAAUCUGUCUUAGUUAUCUUUUUCCAUUUCAUUUCUUUAGUAGCCACCACCCAGAGAUCCCAGGAGAUCAACAACGUCAGCAGUGUGUAAUAUUUUAUUCAUAUCGAUUCGGGACGCUGUCCCUGUUGCUAAAUUCUUUCCCCAUCCCACCUCCACAGAUCAAACGCGUGCAGCAGCCCAGUGUUGCCAGAUUGGGCGGGUGACCGCCCAAUUGGGCUACUUGGGAUGAGCGUCGGCUGGGGAAAAUUGGCCAUUUGGCGUUUUUUUAAGCCGUUUUGGGCCCAUAGAAGUCAAUGUAAUUUGUUGAAUUUGUGCGGAAUUUAGCGCAUUUUGGCGGUUUUUGAGAACCUUUUGGGCGGGAUUUGGUCAGACACAUCUGGCAACAAUGGCAGCAGCCCCCACUGCAUGUACAGGUAUGGUCAGGUUUCUGUUGUCAGUGAAAUAGUGUUGAGUUUGUCUUAAUAGGCUGCAUCUUUUCUGUAGCAGUGGAGCGAUAUCUCAUGGAGCAGGUGGGGGAACUCCACCAAAAAAUGGAUUAUAUAGUAUCCCUCCUCCAAAAAGGCCAUCCAGGGGCAGCCAGAGAAGCGCCAACCAGUUUGCCCAUGCUGCCACUGCAGACAGUGGAGGAUCUGCGAGCAUUUGAUGCAAAAUGACGGGUCCUUCAGGACACAAAUGAUAAGUAAACUGUCGCUGGCUGGAGGGAGGAGUGUGAAGGAGACAGUGCGCCAAGGCCAUCCACCAAGACCUGGCCACCCAGCUUAAUAGAGCUCGAAAGUGACGUCACUUCCCCCGAUUUCAUGGGACCUCAACGGCGUUUUUAGCCGAAAAUCGUAGCAUGUAAUCCAAUGGCGGUAUUAAAAUGGCAUUUCGAUCCCCUUCGAGUUGUGCCACGAGCUCCAUAUAUGUUGUUUCUGAUAUUUUUGCUUAAUUUUUCGUAUGAACCCCCACAUUUUUUAGAAAGCGGUGUUUCUUCACAUUUUUCAUGCCGACGGUCUCGGAACAAAACAUUGAUACUUCUGCAUGAAUAAUCUUUAUCUAUCAUCUUAAACAGCAUAUUUGUAGCCCAGCGCAUAUCAUGACUGAGAUCAGAAGAUAUUUACUCGCUACCACGUUGUUAGAUGGUCAGCUUAGGUCCCGUGAAACGCGGAACUAAGGGGCGGGACUUUCGAGCUCUAUUGGUGUGGCAGGGGAGAGAAGACGGGCCUCAAGUCGACGCCCACCCACCACGCUCUUCUCAAUGUACAUGGACAUGUCGGAGGUGGAGGAAGAGGAGGUCGCCCUCGCCCUUGUCCGAGACAAAGCCGGCGCUGGAGUGGGUGUUACAAAAUAUGGAGAGGAUGGUGGGGCUGGUGGGGACACCAGCCUAUUGUCGCCUCCACCCUGGAGGAACAGGAGGACCUCAGGGAUAUUUUUUUCUUUCGUUUCACAAAUUAUGAUGACAUGGACGAUUUUCUUUUUAUUUUGAGGGACACGAGGGGGCUGUGUGUCAACGCC